GGGGCUUAAUAAGGACGGGAAAUGACCAUCGCGACACCGACACUAGUCAUAAGAGCAGUGGCGGUGUGGCUACAAGCGAUACACGUGCAAAAUCUUUUAGAUGAAAAGUAGAUCAAUAACUGCGAAUCGUAGGCAAAAUGUAGAUCGUAUUUGAAUCUUGGUUGUUGCGUUGCGGCCGGCCGUCCCCCGCCCGCGCCGGCGCCGGGCGCGCGAUACAUUCCGCUAGAUUGUACAGCCGGCCCGAAGUGACUUCGUCGGUAAACCUAACUUCUACCAGCAGAAAUAAUUAUCGAGAUGUAGCAAAAACUCCGGUCGACUAUAAAACAGGUUGAUCGACAACAUAUUGACGUAAAGUUAAAAAUGUAAGUGUAUCAGGUUUCGCGUGGCACAGACAGUUUUUUUUAAAUCCAUUGUGGGCUGUUCUGUUGAUAGUCGAUCAGGUAGGAUUACCGGCGGUGUCAUCUUCGUCUAUUGGCUUUAGUGUACGCUUCUGUGAGUAGUGACGCCCUCCCAGAGUGAACUGAUGCUUUUAAAUGGGUUCUUUUCCUUACCUUCUAGUAACUUUUUUCGACGCUUUUAUACGUGAAUUAGAUAUCAUAUAUUAGGGCGACUGACUGUAAAAAUGACGUAUUAAAACGUUAUAGUGGCAUUUAAUGAAUAUCUGCCGCUUUAGAGUGUACGCCCGCUCUGUUAAACUUUAUAGCGACUUUUACCCCACAUUGUACGGUCUGCUGCUUUCAGACCCAUAUAAAAGCAGCAGUUUUUUGUUGUUGUUUAUCGUAUUUAUUACUUAAAGAAAACUGAGUGAUUUAAAGGUAAUUUAUUUGUAAAUGGGUUAUAUACCUCUACAUUUAGUAAGGUUAUGGUUUCGCUGUGUGACCGUUGUUGUCUAGGUUAGAUAACUUUGAAACGCUUGUCAAACAAGCGCACAAAGUGUAAGAUUACAAUUCCUGUUAGGGGAAUAAGCAAUAUUAAUGUUUGGUGAAAUUGACAGUGCUUUAGGGGGGCCUAUGAAUUAGAUGGUCCAGUUCUAUAAGAGGUGUGAAUCGUGUCUAAAGAUCCAUCCCCAUCGGUUUAGAAAAUAUAGUUGCUUACGAAACUAUUAUUAUUUACGAUUGCAUGAUUAAAACUAAACUCUGAGAACUGAACCAUCGACGUGAUCGUAUGCUAGCCACAAAUAAUUCCAAAUAAAAUAAACUUCAAAUGUCUUUUGGCUUCGCGUUAGUAUUGAGGUAGUUAUUAAGCGUCAUUGAAUUUGCCAUGAAAAGGUACUGGCGCUAGUGUAUAUAGCGCAACCGGGUGAAACUAGGUACAUUGUACUGCUUCUGGUCGAAAAAAAUAAAUUUUAAGUCUAACACGGAAUGAUGCAUCGUUUUAAGCUCAUACCGUCGAAUAGAUUUUGUAGGAAUGCAUCGUUAUAUCUGUUGGGUUCACGACGUAAUUGGAACAUUUUGACGCAAGACAUUUGAUAGUUGCUCUUAAUUACCAAGACGAUUAUACCUAAAAUAAAAACGGAUUAUUAUCCGGAUUCUAACGUCACAAAAAUGUUAGAAAUACAUAUUUGUUUGUACAUUAAAUAUGCUAAUAUAAUUCCAAGCCAAUGCUUAAGUUAAGGUCCGAGAUAAAUCAGUUAAAUCACUGUAAUUUUUUUUUGUGAUCGGUGAGAUGUUUUAGUCCUAUCUCGAGACGGUUAUAUAGCUUUUUACGAAUAUGGAAAUAUGCUUAGCAUGUGUCGCGUGGUAUACAUAGCGUUCCGGAGGGUGAUGUUUUGGCCCGUGUGCGUGUCGAUUUUAUAAACUAAUGUUAGGUUAGCAAGACGUGAUGCUAACUUAGGCGCACACAAAUUAGUUUUGUAAGCGUUACUAAAAGUCCAAAAUAGUUAGUCAUUUUACUAUUAGUGUUGGAAAUUCUGACAACUACGUACUUACAUUUGGUCAGAUAACAUGCCCUUUGAACUAGUGCUUUACUAGGAGAUACCUGAUUAGUGCAAAAUAUUAGAGUUAACAUGCUAAGGCUCGUAAUCUUUAUACUGAGAGCAGUUGUUUUAUCACUUCUUUAAGGGUGCAGAAAACUAAUACAGACUUGGGAUAAGUUUUAGGCAAUUUAGUACAAAUAGUACACACCCGCCCACGGGCCGUUAGACCAAAUGUAAGGAUCAUACCAUAGACCCUGUGUCAGUGAUAUAAUAUAAUGUUCGCGUCAAGUAAAUAGUAACGAGAAAUAGCAUUUUGAAUUUAGAUAAUCGUUGUUGAUAUUUCCCCUGACAUCUUACAGUUUAAGAGGAAUUGAAAAUGAAAUUGGGUCGUUGUCAAAGAGAAGGAAGACUGGAAAUUCUGGACUCUGAAAUUGGUAUCUAAUUUUUUUGGAAACAAAAACAUGAGAUAAACAACAUGUGGAAUACCACCCUUAGAUGUAAUAGUUUUUCGCCUUCUCCUUCUCAUUGACCGGAUUCAGUUGUACAAUAAAUUUAGAUUAGAAAAUGUAUUCCCUAAAAUGACUUAAAAUUUGGUUGGCCAGUGGACAACCAUAGUACUUAGUGUUAGGCCAGGUCAAUUUCGUCUAGUUCCACUAUAGAAGUCACAAUUACAAGCUAAGAUCAUAAAAUAUUAUAAAAUAAUUUAUAUUUUGCAGAUAGGCUGUUAUUUUUCAUUGUCCAGUCCAUUGUUUUAUUUAUGGAUAGGUGGGUUUAGACAUUAUUUAGACUAAUUAUAAUGUUUCAUUGUGUAUUUUUUAUUUGUUACGUUAUGUAUUUUGAUAUUACAAAUCAUAAUAUGGAUUUACGAACUUUGUUCUUGGUUUAUUUUCAUUAAAGAUAGGUAGUGGAUUUUGUGAUGCUUAUUAUUUGUUUUAUGACAGUUUUUUAUCUUUUUAACUGCCUUGAUAAACGAAUCAUGUUUUUACAACUUUAUGCUGUGAUCAGAAUAAAAUGCAAGAAUGUUCUAGCAUACAAAAUGUUUGAAUCAAUAGUAUUUAGGUACCUAGAUUAUAUUUUGGUCCUGUGUACCUGUCUUCCUGUGGGUACCUGUCUUUUAAUUGAAUAACUCUUUUUAAAAAUUAGUAACUAUUACUUAUGAAAGCAGAAGAAUAUAAAUGAUCAUAUUAGAUUCAUAAUUGUUACAUAUUUGCCGUGACUUAUUUUGAAAACGUGUUUUUCAAUUAAAAGACACAUCAAGAUUGUUUACCUUUAUUUCUAAUGCUAAAAAAAACGAACUACUUAUAGUACAAAAUCAAAUACAGUCUAAUUGGGCUGGGUAAAAUAUUCCGAUUAAUUAUAUUUUUUAUUGAACAAUCUGUAAGUAUAAUCCAGCUAUAUGUCUUGGUCUGGAGGUAUUGGUCACAUGGAGGAUAAAAUUUUAAUAAGUAUAUUACGUUUUUUUUGUCUAUGUACCUACAUAAUUGCUACCAUCACAUGCAAGCGUGUUACGAAUGUACUAGGUAUUUAACAUACGAAAAGAUUUUUAACAUUAUAAAUAAAGGGUUUCGAUUAAUGUAAACGAAUAUUUCAUAUUGUAUACCUAAUGAAUAAUCAAUAUUCAGUAAAGACAUUGUCAUAAACCUUUACCCCCUUAUUCAUAAAACUUUACGGGCCUGAUUUAGUUAAAUUGUGUUUUAUCCCUUUCUUACAAAUACAUAAGUCAAAAUGACAGAUAAAGGCUAACGAUUAUUAGCUAAUUGAGGUUUGUAGCGCGUUUAUGAAUAAGGGGGUUAGCAUUUACUUAUUUUAUUUAUAUAUAUAUGCGUAUUUUUCUCGCAUUUACAAAUGCUGUUGUUGUUCUGCCUAGAAUCGACUAGCGGUUACAGUUCCAUAGUACUCAAUAAAAUAUUUUUAAAAUAUAUUUUUGUGAAUGUUUUGUGGUUACAAUUCUGGAGAAAAUAUUAUUGUCAGAUGUCCAUCUUAAUAUAAAGAAUAUGGAAUUAUUCUUACAAUCAUUCAUUUGUAUUUUCUGGGCGAAUAAAGCAUUAGUGCAUUAA